UGCUAAUCUGCGAUAAGCGUCGGUAAGGUGAUAUGAACCGUUAUAACCGGCGAUUUCCGAAUGGGGAAACCCAGUGUGAUUCGUCACACUAUCAUUAACUGAAUCCAUAGGUUAAUGAGGCGAACCGGGGGAACUGAAACAUCUAAGUACCCCGAGGAAAAGAAAUCAACCGAGAUUCCCCCAGUAGCGGCGAGCGAACGGGGAGGAGCCCAGAGCCUGAAUCAGUGUGUGUGUUAGUGGAAGCGUCUGGAAAGGCGUGCGAUACAGGGUGACAGCCCCGUACACAAAAAUGCACAUACUGUGAGCUCGAUGAGUAGGGCGGGACACGUGGUAUCCUGUCUGAAUAUGGGGGGACCAUCCUCCAAGGCUAAAUACUCCUGACUGACCGAUAGUGAACCAGUACCGUGAGGGAAAGGCGAAAAGAACCCC
rnacentral:rRNA from 1 species